GGGGAAUUUGAAUUCCUCCACUGAAUGUCUGAAGUUCUGUACUAUGUACGGGCGUUUGGACGCAGGCCCUCGCAAGCACUGCACACUGCCUACAAGGAGAUGAUCUGAUCAUGCUCAUGAAUACACAUGGCAACUGCAGAUGUCAUUCCUGGAAAAGCCUGAAGAGUGUGUUUGUACAGAACAGUGACUCUUAACAGCACACAUGGUGACAUCCUCAGGACUCCCCUAGAAGAAAGAAUUUAGGAGUUAGUGGAAGACAUUUGAGAAAAGGUCAAUGAAAAAAUAUGCAAAGGAAAAAAAAGGAAAUACAAAUUUUCAUAAUUUCUAACUUGUUUAUAUAAAUUUGUCAGUGACUAUUUGUACUUUUUAUAAAUAUACAGUUGUGUGUAAUUUAAAAGGAUCUGUCAUGUUUACAAACUCC